rnacentral:rRNA from 1 species
AUGAACGCUGGCGGCGUGCCUAAUACAUGCAAGUCGAGCGAACAGACGAGGAGCUUGCUCCUCUGACGUUAGCGGCGGACGGGUGAGUAACACGUGGAUAACCGACCUAUAAGACUGGGAUAACUUCGGGAAACCGGAGCUAAUACCGGAUAAUAUAUUGAACCGCAUGGUUCAAUAGUGAAAGACGGUUUUGCUGUCACUUAUAGAUGGAUCCGCGCCGCAUUAGCUAGUUGGUAAGGUAACGGCUUACCAAGGCAACGAUGCGUAGCCGACCUGAGAGGGUGAUUGGCCACACUGGAACUGAGACACGGUCCAGACUCCUACGGGAGGCAGCAGGAGGGAAUCUUGCGCAAUGGGCGAAAGCCUGACGGAGCAACGCCGCGUGCGUGAUGAAGGUCUCCGGAUCGUAAAACUCUGUUAUUAGGGAAGAACAAAUGUGUAAGUAACUAUGCACGUCUUGACGGUACCUAAUCAGAAAGCCACGGCUAACUACGUG